rnacentral:rRNA from 1 species
UACGUAGGGUGCAAGCGUUGUCCGGAAUUAUUGGGCGUAAAGAGCUCGUAGGCGGUCUGUCGCGUCGGCUGUGAAAUCCCGAGGCUCAACCUCGGGUCUGCAGUCGAUACGGGCAAACUAGAGUAUUGCAGGGGAGACUGGAAUUCCUGGUGUAGCGGUGAAAUGCGCAGAUAUCAGGAGGAACACCGGUGGCGAAGGCGGGUCUCUGGGCAAUAACUGACGCUGAGGAGCGAAAGCGUGGGGAGCGAACAGGA